UAACGGGGCUAAACCAUGCACCGAAGCUGCGGCAGCGACACUGUGUGUUGUUGGGUAGGGGAGCGUUCUGUAAGCCUGUGAAGGUGUGUCGUGAGGCAUGCUGGAGGUAUCAGAAGUGCGAAUGCUGACAUAAGUAACGAUAAAGCGGGUGAAAAGCCCGCUCGCCGGAAGACCAAGGGUUCCUGUCCAACGUUAAUCGGGGCAGGGUGAGUCGACCCCUAAGGCGAGGCCGAAAGGCGUAGUCGAUGGGAAACGGGUUAAUAUUCCCGUACUUGGUGUUACUGCGAAGGGGGGACGGAGAAGGCUAUGUUGGCCGGGCGACGGUUGUCCCGGUUUAAGCGUGUAGGUGUGUGUUCCAGGUAAAUCCGGUUCACUUUAACACUGAGGCGUGACGACGAGGCACUACGGUGCUGAAGCAACAAAUGCCCUGCUUCCAGGAAAAGCCUCUAAGCAUCAGGUAACAUCAAAUCGUACCCCAAACCGACACAGGUGGUCAGGUAGAGAAUACCAAGGCGCUUGAGAGAACUCGGGUGAAGGAACUAGGCAAAAUGGUGCCGUAACUUCGGGAGAAGGCACGCUGACACGUAGGUGAAGUGAUUUACUCAUGGAGCUGAAGUCAGUCGAAGAUACCAGCUGGCUGCAACUGUUUAUUAAAAACACAGCACUGUGCAAACACGAAAGUGGACGUAUACGGUGUGACGCCUGCCCGGUGCCGGAAGGUUAAUUGAUGGGGUCAGCGCAAGCGAAGCUCCUGAUCGAAGCCCCGGUAAACGGCGGCCGUAACUAUAACGGUCCUAAGGUAGCGAAAUUCCUUGUCGGGUAAGUUCCGACCUGCACGAAUGGCGUAAUGAUGGCCAGGCUGUCUCCACCCGAGACUCAGUGAAAUUGAACUCGCUGUGAAGAUGCAGUGUACCCGCGGCAAGACGGAAAGACCCCGUGAACCUUUACUAUAGCUUGACACUGAACAUUGAGCCUUGAUGUGUAGGAUAGGUGGGAGGCUUUGAAGUGUGGACGCCAGUCUGCAUGGAGCCGACCUUGAAAUACCACCCUUUAAUGUUUGAUGUUCUAACGUGGACCCGUUACCCGGGUUGCGGACAGUGUCUGGUGGGUAGUUUGACUGGGGCGGUCUCCUCCUAAAGAGUAACGGAGGAGCACGAAGGUUGGCUAAUCCUGGUCGGACAU
rnacentral:rRNA from 1 species